CCAAAAGAUCGUAACUAC
rnacentral:misc_RNA from 1 species